UACGUAGGCAGCAAGCGUUGUUCGGAGUUACUGGGCGUAAAGAGUGCGUAGGCGGUCUUUUAAGUUUGGUGUGAAAUCUCCCGGCUCAACUGGGAGGGUGCGCCGAAAACUGGGAGGCUUGAGGAUGGGAGAGGCAUGCGGAAUACCUGGUGUAGCGGUGGAAUGCGUAGAGAUCAGGUGGAACACCGAUGGCGAAGGCAGCAUCCUGGACGAGUACUGACGCUGAGGCGCGAAAGCGUGGGGAGCGAACAGG
rnacentral:rRNA from 1 species